CAGCAGCCGCGAUAAUACGAAGGGGGCUAGCGUUGUUCGGAUUUACUGGGCGUAAAGCGCACGUAGACGGAUCGAUCAGUCAGGGGUGAAAUCCCAGAGCUCAACUCUGGAACUGCCUUUGAUACUGUCGAUCUGGAGUAUGGAAGAGGUGAGUGGAAUUCCGAGUGUAGAGGUGAAAUUCGUAGACAUUCGGAGGAACACCAGUGGCGAAGGCGGCUCACUGGUCCAUUACUGACGCUGAGGUGCGAAAGCGUGGGGAGCAAACAGGAUUAGAUACCCCGGUAGUCCCUGUCUCUUAUAC
rnacentral:rRNA from 1 species